AUCGUCACGGGGCGAAGCCGUGGUUUCCAGACUCGGUUUACAAUGAUCAAUGGAGCUAUGGAAACAGCAGACACCGCGCUGGAGCCUGCUGGCCUUCCAUCUGGAGCUUCACAGGCACUGAAGGCUGCAGCAGCCGGAGUGUCAUUUGAAGAAGAAGGAUGACUAGUAUGAGCCAGAUGAGACCUCGGAGUGAGCAGGAGUUACAGAGGCCAUUCAUCCCAGGAACAGGAUAUAUGUCCAGGAGUGGAAUUGCUGGACAUACAGUGGCUCUAUUUUUAGGUUUUUGAGAAACCACCAUAUUGUUUCCAUAGUGGCUGCACCAAUUUACAUUCCCACCAACAGUAUACAAGGGUUCCCUUUUCUCCACAUCCUUACCAACAUUUGUUAUUUGUGUUCUUUUUGAUGCUGGCCAUUCUGACAGGUGUGAGAUAAUAUCCCUUUGUGAUUUUGAUUGCAUUUCCCUGAUAUUAGUGAUGCUGAGCAACUUUUCAUGUCCCUGUUGGCCAACUGCAUUUCUUCCGGAAAAAAAUGUCUGUUCAAUUCUUCUGCCCAUAUUUUAAAUGGGUUGUUUAUUUGUUUCUUUGCUUAACUGAAGUACAGUUGAUUUAAAAUGUUAAAAAAUAAAAAGUCUCAUGGAUGAAUAAUAACUGGGGUGUGAGAUGGGCUAAAGGAAGAACCACAAGGCAAGAGGUCCAGAAUCUUAAGUUCCAUUCCAGUACUAACCAGCUAUGUAACCUCAUGAAAGUCCAUGCUUCAGUUCCCUCUUUCUCAUCUGUAAAAUAAGAAUAAUAACCUCUAUCCUGCCUCUCGUGUAGAACUAUGUAGAGCGAUUGUAAGGAUAAAAUAAAAUAUUUUUUCUGUAAUAACCUAAUCAUGGAAAAGAAUCUGAAAAAGAAUAGAUAUAGACAUAUAUACGUACUUAUGUAUAACUGAAUCACUCUACUGCACAGCUGAAUCUGACACAACAUUGUAAAUCAACUAUACCUCAAUAAAAAAAAAUUUUUUUUCCCUUGGGACACUGAAGUCCAAAGUCCUAGUUGUAUAACACCAUCUCUCAACCAUCUAUAAUGAACUAUUAAACAGUUUUUAUGGGUGUGUAGAAGCACUUCAAAAGUUAAAAGUCUAUGCAGAUAGAAAGUACUAUUUUUGUCUACUGUUGACAUGCAAACACAUAUGCCAUGCAACACUCUAAACACAAAGACAAUUUAAAAACCUCAGGUAUAUAGAAUUGGAUUCAUUAUAAUCCUUGAUUCAUGACAUUCCCUCGUCAUUGAAUCAUUGGACCAUGUAUCUCUGCCUUUACUUAGUUAGCUAUUAGUUAUUUUUAAUAAUGCAGUAGGCACCUGCAAAUCCACUGCCCAAAAUAAAAAUUAGGACUCUGACAAUAGCAGACCCCUAACUAGGUGGUUCCUCCAUCCGUCCCUGCCCCACUUCUGUUUUCUCAGAAACAAGAUAACCAUUAUCCUGAGUCAUACAUUCAUCAUUCCCUUGCUUUCCUUUUGUGUAAUUUUAUUUCAUAAGGACACAUUAAAGGUAUAGGUAUCUGACUUUCAUAAAAGGUGAAGCUCUUGUCUUAAAAGGGAAAUGGGUCAGGGUGACAUUAUUAGCAAGAUGGGAUUAAAAUAAGAAAACAUCUUUUCAUAGUUUCAGAGUAUUCCCCCACCACCUCAUGAUGAUAAUGACAAAGAUGAAGAUAAUUACUGAGUGCUUACUCUGUGCCCAACACUGUGCUCAGCCCUUCAUUGUCUCUUUUAAAUCUCAUAUGGAUCUGUGAUAGAGUUUGCUAGUUGUUUUGGCCAAUAUCCACUUCCCCUUCUUUGAUAGUAAAGAAUCUCCAAUGUUCACAUGACUACCUGGAAUAAAAACUACAUUUCUCAGCCCUGGUUACAGCUGGUUGUGUUCAUGACUUGUAAAUGAAGCUGUUAAGGGAAGAGGUAGAUCCUCUCCUCUUCUCUCUCUUUUCUUCUCCUUUCUGGUGGUUGGAAUAAAAAUGUAAUGGCUGGAGCUGGAGCAUCCAUCUUGUCUCAUGAAGUGACAAUGACAGAGCAAAAGGAUAGAAGGAGCCUAUGUCCUUCCAUCAAUGGAUCAUGGAUUCAUCAAAUCAGCUGUAAACAACUUACCCAGACUUUUAUACGAAACAGAAAGAAAUGUCCUUCCUAUUACAGUAACUGCUGUUCUAAGUUUUCUAUUACUCAUAGCCAAACCCCAUCCUAACUAUUACGUCACUCUAUGAGGCUUCCCCCACCCUGCCUUCACACAAUCAGAAGUUAUGAAAGCUAUACCAUCGUAGAGAUGAAAAGGACCAAUAGAAAUCACCUGAUCUGUCAACUUCCUCAAAAGACCACACCUGCAUUUGACAAGUUGAGUUUCCAGGGGCCUUGGUGCUGCAAAUGGAUUUGUCACCGUGGGGUAAUGACAUUGCCCUAUGCCUUGUUUUCCAACUACCGUUUAUCCAGAAUCAAUUCCUGAGAAAGACAAAGGAUGUGAAUAAUCAGCCGAGCAGAUGGAACGUCAGGCAGCCAGUCCAGAAGAGAAAACACAGCUCCCCUGAAAGGAGAGAGAAGAAGGCAUUUGACCUUGGGGAAGUCUGGCGGGGGCACAAAACAGACUUCAGAGAAAGGCUGGGGCUUGGACCUGGCCUCCACAGAUAAGGUGUGUGGAGAGGAACCAAUUAAUCACUGGAUGUGGCCUUUAACAUCUUCUGACUACCGUGGGAAGCUCUCUCGAGGAAAUGGGGAAGGAAGUUGUAAGGAAGGACCCUGAGGAUAUCACAUGAAGGAGGAAGCAUGAGCAUUGGAAUAAGGUUGAAAUCACAAGUCCUGGAAACUAGUUAUCUAAAGACACUCGUUCUAACACACACACACACAUAUACACACACACAGGACGUUGACAGAGCCUGUGGCAAGGCCACAGUUUUCUUUGGCUGGCCUCUUUGCCUUUAGGUCUGGCUGAGAAGAUGGGCAUUUAUCAUUGGGCAUUUUCAUCAGUUUCAUUUCCUGUUUCUCAUGCUGAAAACACAAUAAUCAUCAUAAUGAUAAUAAUCGUUCCUCAGGCUCGCUUCUGCCUCCUGUUUAUCUAGGGCCUCCCAGAAGUGUGUGUACUCUAUCAAUUAACAGCUGGGGGUGGAGGCAGGCAUGGAGGGGAGGGGAGA